rnacentral:lncRNA from 1 species
CUGGAGCCUGGCCAUUUCUGGGCAUGUCCCCUUGUGAGCUGUGUGCAAGGAGCCCCAGAGUCCUGGAAUCAUAUGGGCGGAGACUGGUCUCAGGCCUAGCCCCAGAGGAGAGAGCACAAAGCUAGUGAAAUAGGCAGGUAGAUCCGAGACCACGCCUACUCUGCUAAAUAAAUAGCCGGGGGAAAAAAACCCUCCAAUAAUAAUGAUGAUGAUUUAUUUGAACAUUGUAGAUUUACUACCUCUUCUUUGCCAGUGUUUCAUGAAGUUUCCAGGGUAGAAUAUGUGACUUAAAUAAUAUAUUUUCUCCUCAUUUAUCAAACUUCUUGCACUCAGCAUUGUUAAUUACAUUGUGGAGGGGGAGGAACAUGAGGUGUGGUGAUAUAUUAUGAUCCAAAUACCACACUAAAUAAACAUCUGGAAGUGAAUCAUUUAUAACACAACUGUUAUAGGUUAGUGAGUGUGUUUCAGGGUAAACCAGGGAAUACACAUCUGCAUACAGCUCACCAAAAAAUACCCUUAGAAUCAUAAACAAGUGACAUCCUUGUAGUUUCGUCCUCGUUAUCAGUAACAGGCCCUUUUCAUGUGAAUCCACAGUCGUCGCUUACAAAGAAGUGCUCUAAAGCUGAGCUCUUUUAUAUUGGCAUUAUAAUUUUAGACUGACUCCUGAGCUCCGAACCACUUAGAAACUUUUUACCAGCUCUGAACUAGAUAGUUGGGCAACACUCAUUUCAUUCCUUUGCACAGCAAUCUGACGACUGAAUAUGCUUCAGAGAUUCUUUUAGGACUAGCUGAGGAAUGAAAUCAAUCAUAGCGCGUAAAUUACAAGAAAAGUGCUGUUGCUGUCAAUUACCUAAGCCCUGCGAAUACCAGAGCGAAGGCAAAUGUGUAUUAUUUGGUAGCUUCUGAGCAGCAAGGAAAAACUGACUCGCAACCCCCAAAGCAAGAAGUGAAGCCGUAACCACUAGAACUCUCACAUUGACAUGUUCCUGACUAGCGAAUGUCUAGGCAUCAAACAUCUGCCUUCUUACAGCUAUGUUUUAUUAUUACGUAAACACGGCUACAAGAUUUCUGACAUAAAAUAGUAGAUGACUCAGUGUCUUCAAAUGAUUAACUGCUGGUUUUUUGCCUGACCUCUUUUUU